rnacentral:lncRNA from 1 species
AAAAGAGAUUGUGAUUGAAUUAUGUGACCGAAUUGAACCACCAAAGGGUUCAAAAUGUUUGCAUUAGCACUUCAAUAUCAGUGAUGUGAUGAGCUAGACAACAAAAGCUAAGAAAGAAAAAAAUAAAUAGUUCAACCAUCUAAACACAUCUUUUGUAGCCUAGCUAAAACAAAAACUCACUAUUGCAUAAUUAUUGCUUUGCAUCAAGUAAUCUUUAUUUCUAAACAGUUCAACCAUAAUAAUAUCAAUCGAAUUUGACAUGGAAACUCUCAUUUGUUUUUACUAUAUCGUCUUUUUCAUCCACCACAUAUACCCUUUUUAGUAACCUAAAAGUGAUUGGUUUAGAUUUUAAAGACUUUUUAUUUUAGAAAAAGUCUUUGAACCCAAAACUUACUCAAUCAGUCUUUACUUAUUUUUCUAAUUUUAAUGUCUCUAUAUAAAACUUCUUAGCAGUUUCAACAGAAAAUGACGGUAGGUGCCAUAUUGGCACGUC